UACGUAGGGGGCGAGCGUUAUCCGGAUUCACUGGGUGUAAAGGGAGCGUAGACGGCCAAGCAAGCCAGGGGUGAAAGCCCGGGGCCCAACCCCGGGACUGCCCUUGGAACUGCAUGGCUGGAGUGCGGGAGGGGCAGGCGGAAUUCCUGGUGUAGCGGUGAAAUGCGUAGAUAUCAGGAGGAACACCGGCGGCGAAGGCGGCCUGCUGGAUCGCGACUGACGUUGAGGCUCGAAAGCGUGGGGAGCGAACAGG
rnacentral:rRNA from 1 species